rnacentral:rRNA from 1 species
GACGAACGCUGGCGGCGUGCCUAAUACAUGCAAGUCGAGCGGACGGAUGGGAGCUUGCUCCCAGACCGUCAGCGGCGGACGGGUGAGUACACGUGGGCAACCUGCCUGUAAGACUGGGAUAACUCCGGGAAACCGGGGCUAAUACCGGAUAACUCUUUCCCUCACAUGAGGGAAAGCUGAAAGAUGGCAUCUCGCUAUCACUUACAGAUGGGCCCGCGGCGCAUUAGCUAGUUGGUGAGGUAACGGCUCACCAAGGCGACGAUGCGUAGCCGACCUGAGAGGGUGAUCGGCCACACUGGGACUGAGACACGGCCCAGACUCCUACGGGAGGCAGCAGUAGGGAAUCUUCCGCAAUGGACGAAAGUCUGACGGAGCAACGCCGCGUGAGUGAUGAAGGUUUUCGGAUCGUAAAACUCUGUUGUCAGGGAAGAACAAGUACCGGAGUAACUGCCGGUACCUUAACGGUACCUGACCAGAAAGCCACGGCUAACUACGUG